ensembl:lncRNA
GGGUAGGGGUGGUGCUGGUGCUGGAAGUGGUGGUGCUGGUGGUGGUGCUGAAGGUGGUGCUGGUGGUGGGUGGUGUUGAAGGAAAUGCUGAUGGUGCUGGUGGUCACCACCACCAUGGCAAGUUAGACAGAGUUGAAGGCGUAAGAAGCAGCACUCUUAUAUCAGAAACUAGAAGAGUGUGAUGGCUCCCAUUCAACUGAAAACAAAAACAAUGAAUGAGGAGAGAGAGACCACAUGUUCCGUUUUUAUUGCAACUGGAAGACAAAACAGCACAGAAAGUAUAUGGUUGAUUUUUUGUCUGGGGGGGGGAAACACAGGGAGACAAAACUCAAAGAAACAAACCUACGUCCAGAGUGAUGAAGUGAUGAUAAUUACAUUUAAUAAUAAGGGUUGUUUGUCUUUGGCAAUAUGAUCGCUGAGCAAGGAAGAUACAGAACAUAUGUCUCCAUUAUUGAAAGAGAAUUUGGAAGGUCAUGUCAUCAGGACAAGUGUUUUUGACAUAGGAGAAAACACAAUGAUUUGGCAGCGCAACAGACAUAUAGUGCACCACACAGUGUGCAACAAAUACUGUAGACUUUCAUUAAACACGUCAUUAAACACGUCAUGCUUGAGCACGUGACACGGCUUAGCUCGACGACCGCCUUAAAAAUGGAUAGAACUAGAAAACGUGGCCGAUGUUCAAUUACUUGGCAAAUCAGUCCAUUUGUAUGGUGUAUACUGUCCAGGAAGUACAAAAACACAAUAGCAAAAUUGGAUUUCAUGGAAGACAAAAAAUAUUUAAGACAAAGUCAAAUCAGAGGAUAACCCUAAAAUGAAAACCUUAAUUUUUACACAUCCACAUGUACUAUUUGUGAUAUCUAGUUUGCCAUUUGAAACUCCAAUUAAGUGUAUAGGUGUUUUCAAUAUUUGUAUUCACCUUUGGGAUAAGUUGGUCAAAGUGGGGCAUGCUGCCAAUGACAUACUGACCAGCUUAAUUUCUGUUGUAGUAAAAGUAAACUGAAAUAAGGUUUUGACUGAAAUAGGGGUGGUAGAUAAGGAGAAUCAUUAUUAAACUAUACUUUUUUUUGUUUUUACUUUAAGGGAAGCACGUCCAAGCUCAACCACAUAAUGGAGGAAAUAAACAUCACUACUUUUGACACGACUGCCAUGUUUGACAUUCCAAAAUACAGGUGUUUUGAUUUGAGGUUAAAAAAUUGUUAUAUAAUAAAUGUACUCAUAUAAACAGACAAGUUUUAAGAAAGACCAACAACCAUUGCCAUCUCCAAACUGCCGCAAUGUUAGCCUGUUAAUGAAUCUCUUAUUCGUGCUAAUUUGCGAAGCUAACAAAGCCAGCAGCAAAUCAAUAGUGGUAACCAAUGCAAAAAUGCACAGUGCAUCAGUUAGGCACAACAGUUGCUUUCAUUUACCAUAAGCCACCUUGAACAUGCCCUUCUCUUGCAAUCAAUGUGGUUUCUUAAAUGUACUUUU